AACGAACGCUGGCGGCAGGCUUAACACAUGCAAGCCGAACGCAUCCUUCGGAGUGAGUGGCAGACGGGUGAGUAACGCGUGGGAACGUGCCCUUCAGUUCGGGAUAACCCAGGGAAACUUGGGCUAAUACCGGAUACGUGCGAGAGCAGAAAGAUUUAUCGCUGAAGGAUCGGCCCGCGUCUGAUUAGCUAGUUGGUGGGGUAAUGGCCCACCAAGGCGACGAUCAGUAGCUGGUCUGAGAGGAUGAUCAGCCACAUUGGGACUGAGACACGGCCGAAACUCCUACGGGAGGCAGCAGUGGGGAAUAUUGGACAAUGGGCGCAAGCCUGAUCCAGCCAUGCCGCGUGAGUGAUGAAGGCCUUAGGGUUGUAAAGCUCUUUCGUCCGGGACGAUAAUGACGGUACCGGAAGAAGAAGCCCCGGCUAACUUCGUGCCAGCCGCCGCCGUAA
rnacentral:rRNA from 1 species